AAAACUAUGUAAUGCAAGCAAUGUUCACAUCACUUGAUAGCAUUUCAAAGGGCAUAAUAAUUCUAAGUGUAGAGAAUUAUGUCUUUUCAAUGAUAUUUGAAGUGCAAUGGAAAAUGAUCUUACAAGCCUACCUACAGGUACACUUUGAAGAUGACCAAUUCACUGCCACAAAAAGAAGGGAUGUUGAAGUUGAGGCCCGAUGCAGUCCCAACAGUUUUCAUUCAUCGCCCUAAGCCGAAGAGGAAACCCCCUUCUGUGAGGGUGCCUCCAGAACCAAGUGCAACGGACCACACAUGGCACCAAAUUAAACUUCGAGAUUGAGGGAGAAAUUGAGGUGGAUUUCAAGAGCGAUGAAAAGGACAUGACAGGAGACAGAGAGCAAUCAAGAGGCCACUUUGCCAGGGGCAGCUGCUCCAGGGACCAGACUGCCAG